GAUGAACGCUAGCUACAGGCUUAACACAUGCAAGUCGAGGGGCAGCAUUUCAGUUUGCUUUGCAAACUGGAGAUGGCGACCGGCGCACGGGUGAGUAACACGUAUCCAACCUGCCGAUAACUCGGGGAUAGCCUUUCGAAAGAAAGAUUAAUACCCGAUGGUAUAAUCAGACCGCAUGGUCUUGUUAUUAAAGAAUUUCGGUUAUCGAUGGGGAUGCGUUCCAUUAGGCAGUUGGUGAGGUAACGGCUCACCAAACCUUCGAUGGAUAGGGGUUCUGAGAGGAAGGUCCCCCACAUUGGAACUGAGACACGGUCCAAACUCCUACGGGAGGCAGCAGUGAGGAAUAUUGGUCAAUGGGCGCAGGCCUGAACCAGCCAAGUAGCGUGAAGGAUGACUGCCCUAUGGGUUGUAAACUUCUUUUAUAUGGGAAUAAAGUUUUCCACGUGUGGAAUUUUGUAUGUACCAUAUGAAUAAGGAUCGGCUAACUCCGUGCCAGCAGCCGCGGUAAUACGGAGGAUCCGAGCGUUAUCCGGAUUUAUUGGGUUUAAAGGGAGCGUAGGUGGACAGUUAAGUCAGUUGUGAAAGUUUGCGGCUCAACCGUAAAAUUGCAGUUGAUACUGGCUGUCUUGAGUACAGUAGAGGUGGGCGGAAUUCGUGGUGUAGCGGUGAAAUGCUUAGAUAUCACGAAGAACUCCGAUUGCGAAGGCAGCUCACUGGACUGCAACUGACACUGAUGCUCGAAAGUGUGGGUAUCAAACAGGAUUAGAUACCCUGGUAGUCCACACAGUAAACGAUGAAUACUCGCUGUUUGCGAUAUACAGUAAGCGGCCAAGCGAAAGCAUUAAGUAUUCCACCUGGGGAGUACGCCGGCAACGGUGAAACUCAAAGGAAUUGACGGGGGCCCGCACAAGCGGAGGAACAUGUGGUUUAAUUCGAUGAUACGCGAGGAACCUUACCCGGGCUUAAAUUGCAUUUGAAUAUAUUGGAAACAGUAUAGCCGUAAGGCAAAUGUGAAGGUGCUGCAUGGUUGUCGUCAGCUCGUGCCGUGAGGUGUCGGCUUAAGUGCCAUAACGAGCGCAACCCUUAUCUUUAGUUACUAACAGGUCAUGCUGAGGACUCUAGAGAGACUGCCGUCGUAAGAUGUGAGGAAGGUGGGGAUGACGUCAAAUCAGCACGGCCCUUACGUCCGGGGCUACACACGUGUUACAAUGGGGGGUACAGAAGGCAGCUACCUGGUGACAGGAUGCUAAUCCCAAAAGCCUCUCUCAGUUCGGAUCGAAGUCUGCAACCCGACUUCGUGAAGCUGGAUUCGCUAGUAAUCGCGCAUCAGCCAUGGCGCGGUGAAUACGUUCCCGGGCCU
rnacentral:rRNA from 1 species